GCGAGAUCUGCAGCGUCCUGAACAAGCCUUCAACCUCUAAUAACCAACAAGCAAUGCAGGAAGAAUUUGAUGCAGAACCACCUAGUUUUCAUCAGAACAGCGCAGGGAAAAAAACCUGCAUAUCACAAGUGCAUCAAAAAGCAAUUACAGGUCAGUAUCCGUAUCGUGUUUGAAAUAUCAAAGAAGUGAGUAGAGCCAAAGAAAACAACCAAUACGCUUGGCUCAUCAUGAUUGAAGCAGCACGAGACGAUGUUGUUGACCGCAAUAACGGUUAUUUGUGCACGCAUAAAUAAGCCAAAAUAGGUGCAAAACGUUACAAACCUGAAGUCCAAGCCACAAAAUGAAGAAGGUCAUGAUCUACAAGCACAGAUCCUAAUAUUGGUGCAUGUCUGCAUCAUAGUCCACAAGCACAAUACUCACAUUAGGAGUUCAAUGGUCUGUAGCAUUUGGGAGGAGAGCCUCGGAGCUUGCAGAUGCAUUUCUCUCAAACUAUGCAAUGACCAAAUGGGUGUAGCAGCAUACGUGAGUCGACCAUGUUACCAUA